CCCAGAGUUCCCAGCUGAAUCCACUCCAGAGCAAAAAGAAAUAAACUAACAAAUAACACUGCAGUUCUGAUCACAUGGAUCCAAACACUUAUUUUCUAGAUCGGGGGGACUUCAGAACCACUUCCCUGCCAUUGGGUGUGCAUAAAUGUGAUUACACUGUCAUGCAUAAAUGUGGGCGUGGCUUCAGCUUACUGAAGAGGGCAGGACACACCAACUAGCCCC